UCCCGUUUAGCUCAGUUGGUAGAGCGCGUCACUAGUACCGUGUAAGCGGGCGAUGACGAGGUCAGUCGUUCGAGUCGGCUAAUGGGAA
rnacentral:tRNA from 1 species